GCAGACAGAGGACAAAUCCCAGGAGCCUUCGCGACGACGACAGAAAUGGUGAUUGCCAGCAGCACGGUACAGGCCAGGGCUCUAAAUGGCUGGAGAGCCAGCAUACAGGCAAAGGUCUCCCCUGGAGCCUGCAGGAAUACAUGCUCUGGAGAAGUUGGCAGCUCUGGCAACCCUGGGCCUGUCAGCUCUGUUUGUUCGCACCACAUCCCCUGAAGAAAGAUGCACACAGGGACCUUUUCACUUCUUUAAUCUCAUGGGAUUCAUUGACUCAAGUCAGAGGGAUUGAGUGACAUCAGAUGAUGACGUUGUGCGUGCCCAUAGCUUCCAUUCCAAAUUCAACAGUCAGGAGGUUGCUGAAGGAGCUGGAAGACGCUGCUCAUACACCUCUCUCUCCACAGCAAGAGCUCCAGCUGGUCUCAGUGGGAUUCAGACUGUGGUUUUCAUCUCCUCCUAAGUCUCUGUAUCUCCCAGGAGGUGGCUCUGCAUUAGCUUGACUGCAGCUCAUGCCUUUCUUCUAACCUCCCUUUUUUUUUUUCUAUAAUAGUAUAAUACCACCGAUUUUUUUUUUGGCGGGGGGCGGGCGGCGUGGAAAGAAGUGUGUUGAGAGUUGUGUCUUCCAGGUCACUGAUGAACGUGGACAGAUCCCGGUAUAGACCCCUGCGUACUCCACUUGUCACUGGCUUCCAGGUAAAGCACCACCCAUUCACAAAAACCCUCUGAGCGUGAUCAUCCAACCAGCUUUUUACCCACCCAGUUCUCUACGCAGUGUGUUGUCACACUUACUUGUAUACAAGAAGAUAAUGUGAGACAGUGUCAAACACCUUGCUAAAAUCAUGGUAAAUAACAUCCACUACUCUGCUCUCCUCUGCAAGUACAGGUCUUUUAUCACAGAAGGCAAUCAGGUUGCUCAGGAAUGAUUUACCUUCAGGAAAUCCAUGCUGACUGCUCCCAGGCACCUUCUUCUCCUUCAUGUGCCCAGAAGUGUGAUGUGAGAGGACUGACUCCAUGACACACUCCUCACCAAAGUGAGGCUGAGUGGCCUGCAGCUCCCCAGGUUGUCCUUGUGGCUUUUUUUGAAGAUGGGCACAACAUACUCCUUUUUCUGGUCAUUGGGACCUCCCCUGAUCUCCGCAGCCUUUCAGAGAUGGUAGAGACUGGCCCUGUUGUGAUAGCAGCCAGCCCUCUAAAUGUCCUCGGAUGCAGCCCAUCCAGUCCCGUGGACUAGUAUGGGUUGAGUUCUUCCAAGUAAUCCCUCACUCAACGCUCUUCCACCUUUCGUUGUUGCUGUUGUUGUUUUCCUUUGGACCUCCCCUGCUCUCCACAACCUUUCAAAGAUGACAGAGAGCAGCCUUGCUGUCAUAGCAGCCAGCUCUCUCCAUGUCCAUGGAUGCCAGCCAUCCAAUCCCAGAGACUUGUAUGGACUGAGUUCUGGCAAGCCAUCCCACACUCAAGACCUAUGCACUGCAGGUUGGUUUUCUCCUCAGGAGUCUUGACCCUAGGCACAACAGCCUGGGAGACCUUGUUGGUGAAGACUGAAGCCAAGAAGGCACUUAGUUCCUCAGACCUACCUGCAGCUGCUGUUACUAGAUUCCCUGCCCAAUCCAGCAGUGAGCCAAUAUUUUCCUUGUUAUUCUUUUACUGCAGCUGAAGUAGUAGCAGCUUUUCUCCAUGUCCUUGAUGUCCCCUGCAAGUGUCAGUCCUAGGGGAGCUCUGGCUUCCCUAACACCAACUCUGAUCUGCUGGACAAUACUUCUGAAUUCCUGCUUUGCUGCCUCUCCCUCCAAUUCACUUCCUGCAUGCUGCCUUAUUGCCCGAGAGCUGAGGUAUGAAAGGAGCUUCCCACUAAGAGGGAAAACCCUGCAGUGCCCAAGGCCAGGGAGAAACGGAGCUGGGCCAUGCAGGAAUGCCAGGAGAGGGGUUUGCUGGCUGAGCUGACUCUGCAGCACCUUGGGGCCUGUGGCAGAGGUGAACUGAUCUCCUGGCAGGACAAGGUGCCACCGAAGAAGUCCCUGGGCCUGGGCAGCCUGUGAUCCACCCUGAGGUCAUCAUUAGCACAAUCCCUGCUCAUAUUGUCCAGGGGCGAGAAGAGGUUCAGAGGGAGGAGAGCAAGAAGGGUUUGAGAGUCCUGAGACUACAGCGGAGACUUUGGUGUGCUGUGCCUCCCAUUUGCACAGCACACUUGGAUGUGGACAGUACAGGCUGUGCGUAAAGGCAGAGGAAAGAUUCAUUUGUUUGGGCACAGGUAGGAAAUCAGAGAUGCCCUGGGGCACUUGCUCAGCAGCACUCCAAAAAGCCAUGGCUUUCCUGUGGGUCCCAUGCUGUAUCUGCUAGAAAAAUGCAGUUGUGCUGGACACCCCAGGCAUCCGACAUGGCCCUGCCAGCCUAUUUCUAUGUCAUUAAAUCAAGAGUCUGCACUGAAUUACAUUAGGAUUUUGCACUGCAGGGAUCCCCACGUGUCUCAACUCCACAGAGAGUGGUGCUCUAGCAGUAUUAGGCAUCUAGGGUCACUGGAGAUGGCCAAGGAAAUUCCCCACCUGGUCCCCACCUAGUGCUCAAGGAGGAUCUUGCUCUUAGUUGCUCCAUCAGAGCAAGCAGACACUGGCACAUGUCUUGGACCACCUCUGUCUCUUCUAAUGUCACCAGGUGCUUGUUUAUGGGCAACUGACUCCCACCCUCCAUCUCCAGCGAUUACAGUGGGAGCUUAGACAAGGAGUUCCCAUGCAGACACCUCUGUUGUGCUCACUUCAGCUUGGGCAAGGGGAAUCCCACCUGCGGCGUGCUU